GUUAUAUGGUCAAGUGAAUAAGUGCAUACGACGGAUGCCUUGGCAUUAGAAGGCGAUGAAGGACGUGAUAAUCUGCGAUAAGCUUCGGUUAGCUGAUAAAUAAGCUCUAACCCGGAGAUCUCCGAAUGGGAAAACCCAGUGGUCAUCAGACCAUUAUCCUUAACUGAAUACAUAGGUUAAGGAGGCAAACCUAGGGAACUGAAACAUCUAAGUACCUAGAGGAAAAGAAAUCAACCGAGAUUCCCUUAGUAGCGGCGAGCGAACGGGGACCAGCCCUUAAGCAUAUUUUAAAUUACUAGAAUGUUCUGGAAAGUUCAACGAUACAGGGUGAUAGUCCCGUAUAGGAAAGUUUAAUUUAUGUGAAAUCGAGUAAGGCGGCGCACGUGAAACGCUGUUUGAACAUGGGGGGACCACCCUCCAAGGCUAAAUACUCUCUAAUGACCGAUAGUGAACAAGUACCGUGAGGGAAAGGCGAAAAGAACCCCGGGAGGGGAGUGAAAUAGAACCUGAAAUCGUAUGCAUACAAGCAGUAGGAGCGGAUUUAUUCCGUGACUGCGUACCUUUUGUAUAAUGGGUCAGCGACUUACUUCUCAGUAGCAAGGUUAACCAAUAGGGGAGCCGUAGGGAAACCGAGUCUUAAAUGGGCGUUUAGUUGCUGGGAGUAGACCCGAAACCGGGUGAUCUAUCCAUGGCCAGGGUGAAGGUUAGGUAAAACUAACUGGAGGCCCGAACCCACUUAUGUUGAAAAAUAAGGGGAUGAGCUGUGGAUAGGGGUGAAAGGCCAAACAAACCCGGAGAUAGCUGGUUCUCUCCGAAAUCUAUUUAGGUAGAGCCUCAUGUAUUACUGUCGGGGGUAGAGCACUGUUAUGGCUAGCGGGUCGUCAAGGCUUAGUAAACCAUUGCAAACUCCGAAUACCGACAAGUAUGAGCAUGGGAGACACACUGCGGGUGCUAACGUCCGUAGUGGAAAGGGAAACAACCCAGACCGUCAGCUAAGGUCCCAAAAUUGUAGUUAAGUGGGAAACGAUGUGAAAAGGCCCAGACAGCCAGAAGGUUGGCUUAGAAGCAGCCAUUCCUUUAAAGAGUGCGUAAUAGCUCACUGGUCGAGUCGGUUUGCGCGGAAGAUUUAACGGGGCUAAAACUACAUACCGAAGCUACGGAUUGCAAUUUAUUGCGAUGGUAGGAGAGCGUUCUGUAAGCCGUUGAAGGUGAACUGUGAGGUUUGCUGGAGGUAUCAGAAGUGCGAAUGCUGACAUGAGUAACGAUAAAGGGGGUGAAAAGCCCCCUCGCCAGAAGUCCAAGGUUUCCUACGCAACGUUAAUCGGCGUAGGGUUAGUCGGUCCUAAGGCGAGGCAGAAAUGCGUAGUCGAUGGGAAAUGGGUUAAUAUUCCCAUACUUCAUAUAACUGCGAUGGGAAGACGGAGAAGGUUAACGCAGCUUGGUGAUGGUUGUCCAAGUUCAAGCGUGUAGAGUAGGUUCUUAGGAAAAUCCAGGAAUCUUAGAUUUAGAUCUAAAGCUCAAGGCGUGAUAACGAACCCUCUUUUGGGAAAAGUGCGUGAUACCAUGCUUCCAGGAAAAUCCUCUAAGCUUCAGGUUAUAUGAAACCGUACCCCAAACCGACACAGGUGGACGAGAUGAGAAUUCUAAGGCGCUUGAGAGAACUCGGGUGAAGGAACUAGGCAAAAUGACACCGUAACUUCGGGAGAAGGUGUGCUCUUGCCGGUGAUUUUACUUGCUAAAUGAGCUGGUAAGAGUUGAAGAUACCAGGUGGCUCCGACUGUUUAUUAAAAACACAGCACUCUGCAAACACGUAAGUGGACGUAUAGGGUGUGACGCCUGCCCGGUGCUUGAAGGUUAAUUGAUGAGGUUAGGAUUCGUCCGAAGCUUUUGAUUGAAGCCCAAGUAAACGGCGGCCGUAACUAUAACGGUCCUAAGGUAGCGAAAUUCCUUGUCGGGUAAGUUCCGACCUGCACGAAUGGCGUAACGAGGGCCACACUGUCUCCACCCGAGACUCAGUGAAAUUGAAAUUGCUGUUAAGAUGCAGUAUACCCGCGGCCAGACGGAAAGACCCCGUGCACCUUUACUACAGCUUUGCAUUGAACUCUGAUUCUACCUGUGUAGGAUAGGUGGGAGGCUUUGAAACUUGGACGCUAGUUCGAGUGGAGCCAUCCUUGAAAUACCACCCUGGUAUGGUUGGGAUUCUAACCUAGGUCCAUUAUCUGGAUCGGGGACAAUGCAUGGUGGGUAGUUUGACUGGGGCGGUCUCCUCCUAAAGAGUAACGGAGGAGCGCAAAGGUACCCUCAGCACGGUCGGACAUCGUGCAAUGAGCGCAAAGGUAAAAGGGUGCUUGACUGCGAGACUGACACGUCGAGCAGGUAGGAAACUAGGUCUUAGUGAUCCGGUGGUUCUGAGUGGAAGGACCAUCGCUCAACGGAUAAAAGGUACGCCGGGGAUAACAGGCUGAUACCGCCCAAGAGUUCACAUCGACGGCGGUGUUUGGCACCUCGAUGUCGGCUCAUCACAUCCUGGGGCUGAAGCAGGUCCCAAGGGUAUGGCUGUUCGCCAUUUAAAGUGGUACGCGAGCUGGGUUUAGAACGUCGUGAGACAGUUCGGUCCCUAUCUACCGUGGGCGUUGGAGACUUGAAGGAAGCUGUUCUUAGUACGAGAGGACCGGAAUGGACACACCUCUGGUGUUUCGGUUGUGACGCCAGUCGCAUUGCCGAGUAGCUAUGUGUGGAAAGGAUAACCGCUGAAAGCAUCUAAGCGGGAAGCCCCUCCCAAGAUUAGGUCUCCCUGAGCGUUAAACGCUCCUUAAGAUUCCUCGAAGACUACGAGGUUGAUAGGCAGGGUGUAGAAGCGCGGUGACGUGUGAAGCUAACCUGUACUAAUUGAUCGUGAGGCUUGACCAUAUAACACCCAA
rnacentral:rRNA from 1 species